rnacentral:misc_RNA from 1 species
CACCACUCAAGAACUCUUUUUUCUUGGUGUUGGAGGUCCUGUUCUCCCCUGAACAGGCCGCCGAAAUGUAUCGGCUGUUAUACUUGCCAACUCCCCUGUGUAGUACAAAAUUUUCCAAUUUUUACACUUUGAAGUUCUGGUGUAGCACGCCGCUAAACCUUCUAUUCUCAACUUCUGUUAGAAUACACUUUUCACAAGG